rnacentral:rRNA from 1 species
GUGGCGAGUGGCGAACGGGUGAGUAAUAUAUCGGAACGUACCCUGGAGUGGGGGAUAACGUAGCGAAAGUUACGCUAAUACCGCAUACGAUCUAAGGAUGAAAGUGGGGGAUCGCAAGACCUCAUGCUCGUGGAGCGGCCGAUAUCUGAUUAGCUAGUUGGUAGGGUAAAAGCCUACCAAGGCAUCGAUCAGUAGCUGGUCUGAGAGGACGACCAGCCACACUGGAACUGAGACACGGUCCAGACUCCUACGGGAGGCAGCAGUGGGGAAUUUUGGACAAUGGGCGAAAGCCUGAUCCAGCAAUGCCGCGUGAGUGAAGAAGGCCUUCGGGUUGUAAAGCUCUUUUGUCAGGGAAGAAACGGUGAGAGCUAAUAUCUUUUGCUAAUGACGGUACCUGAAGAAUAAGCACCGGCUAACUACGUGCCAGCAGCCGCGGUAAUACGUAGGGUGCAAGCGUUAAUCGGAAUUACUGGGCGUAAAGCGUGCGCAGGCGGUUUUGUAAGUCUGAUGUGAAAUCCCCGGGCUCAACCUGGGAAUUGCAUUGGAGACUGCAAGGCUAGAAUCUGGCAGAGGGGGGUAGAAUUCCACGUGUAGCAGUGAAAUGCGUAGAUAUGUGGAGGAACACCGAUGGCGAAGGCAGCCCCCUGGGUCAAGAUUGACGCUCAUGCACGAAAGCGUGGGGAGCAAACAGGAUUAGAUACCCUGGUAGUCCACGCCCUAAACGAUGUCUACUAGUUGUCGGGUCUUAAUUGACUUGGUAACGCAGCUAACGCGUGAAGUAGACCGCCUGGGGAGUACGGUCGCAAGAUUAAAACUCAAAGGAAUUGACGGGGACCCGCACAAGCGGUGGAUGAUGUGGAUUAAUUCGAUGCAACGCGAAAAACCUUACCUACCCUUGACAUGGCUGGAAUCCUUGAGAGAUCGAGGAGUGCUCGAAAGAGAACCAGUACACAGGUGCUGCAUGGCUGUCGUCAGCUCGUGUCGUGAGAUGUUGGGUUAAGUCCCGCAACGAGCGCAACCCUUGUCAUUAGUUGCUACGAAAGGGCACUCUAAUGAGACUGCCGGUGACAAACCGGAGGAAGGUGGGGAUGACGUCAAGUCCUCAUGGCCCUUAUGGGUAGGGCUUCACACGUCAUACAAUGGUACAUACAGAGCGCCGCCAACCCGCGAGGGGGAGCUAAUCGCAGAAAGUGUAUCGUAGUCCGGAUUGUAGUCUGCAACUCGACUGCAUGAAGUUGGAAUCGCUAGUAAUCGCGGAUCAG